UACGUAGGGGCAAGCGUUGUCCGGAAUCAUUGGCGUAAAGAGCGCGUAGGCGGCCUGUAAGUCCGCUGUGAAAGUCAAGGGCUCAACCCUUGAAUGCCGGUGGAUACUGCAGGCUAGAGUCCGGAAGAGGCGAGUGGAAUUCCUGGUGUAGCGGUGAAAUGCGCAGAUAUCAAGGAGGAACACCAGUGGCGAAAGCGGCUU
rnacentral:rRNA from 1 species